rnacentral:rRNA from 1 species
CUCCUUUGACGUUAGCGGCGGACGGGUGAGUAACACGUGGGUAACCUACCUAUAAGACUGGGAUAACUUCGGGAAACCGGAGCUAAUACCGGAUAAUAUUUCGAACCGCAUGGUUCGAUAGUGAAAGGUGGUUUUGCUAUCACUUAUAGAUGGACCCGCGCCGUAUUAGCUAGUUGGUAAGGUAACGGCUUACCAAGGCGACGAUACGUAGCCGACCUGAGAGGGUGAUCGGCCACACUGGAACUGAGACACGGUCCAGACUCCUACGGGAGCAGCAGCU